ensembl:snoRNA
GUAUACCCAUGCCGGAUUACAUUGCAGCCUUGAACCAGUGCCCAGCCUCCUUCUGUGUGGCUGUGAGCACUGAAGGGGGUUGUAUAGUG